rnacentral:lncRNA from 1 species
UCCCUCACUCAUCACUUCUUGGAUCCUUUUUUAGCUGCCGUCUUUUUGAGCUUAUUGAUCCUCUCGCGGUCCACAUCUUUCUGAGUGUUUGCGAGCCUUGCCACGCAGUUGAGCUCUUGUUUAGCGUUUUUCCUGGCUUCUAUCUCCUUAGCCUUGGCUUUGCCACGGGCUUCACGCUCCUUCUUCUCAGCAGCUUUCUUUGCAUCAGACUUCUUGAACAAUUUUGCAACAGCUUCCAUAUUAAAUCCCAUUUUAU